UACGGAGGGUGCAAGCGUUAUCCGGAUUUACUGGGUUUAAAGGGUGUGUAGGCGGGUCUUUAAGUCAGUGGUGAAAUCUCCGAGCUUAACUUGGAAACUGCCAUUGAUACUAUUGAUCUUGAAUUCUGUUGAGGUGGGCGGAAUAUGUCAUGUAGCGGUGAAAUGCUUAGAUAUGACAUAGAGCACCAAUUGCGAAGGCAGCUCACUAAACAGAUAUUGACGCUGAGGCACGAAAGCGUGGGGAUCAAACAGG
rnacentral:rRNA from 1 species